CUUCUUCUUCUUCUUCUUCUUCUUCUUCUUCUUCUUCUUCUUCUUCACCGCUCAAAUCUCUUCCAAGUUUUCAUAUCAAUGUUAAUCGCAAUCUGAAUCCUUUUCUCGGAGAAGCUAGUGCUAAUUUUGAUUGAAAUCUGAAUUGCGCUCUAGUCAUCAGAUCUGGAGCAGGGGUUUAGUGUUGGGAGUGUUGGUGUUUGCUCUCGUCCUUGUAUUUGUCUAUGCAGACGAUGUUUUUGUGCUCACCGAAGAUAAGUUUGAAAAGGAGGUUGGUCAGGACAGAGGAGCACUUGUUGAGUUCUACGCUCGUUGUUGCCAGGUUUUCACUUUGUCGGGUGAUUCAUCAUGGCGAUCCAGCAAAGAUAAGAUGCACAUUUUUUUUUCUAAUUCUCGAUCUAUGUUUCUCAUACCACUUUUUUGUUACCAUAGGUGUGGGCGCUGUAAAAAGCUUGCCCCUGAAUAUGAAAAGCACGGUUCCAGCU